rnacentral:rRNA from 1 species
AGUACGUUGUAGUCGUCGCGCAGAGACGCUGGCGGUGUGCCUAACACAUGCAAGUCGAGCGAGGAACUUCGGUUCCGUAGCGGCGGACGGGUGAGUAACAACGUGGGUAACCUGCCUCAUAGAGGGGGAUAGCUCCCAAAGGGAGAUUAAUACCGCAUAUUAUCAUGCUGACGCAUGUCAGGAUGAUGAAAGGAGCAAUCCGCUAUGAGAUGGACCCGCGGCGCAUUAGCUAGUUGGUGAGGUAACGGCUCACCAAGGCGACGAUGCGUAGCCGACCUGAGAGGGUGAUCGGCCACAUUGGAACUGAGACACGGUCCAGACUCCUACGGGAGGCAGCAGUGGGGAAUAUUGCACAAUGGGCGAAAGCCUGAUGCGGCAACGCCGCGUGAGUGAUGAAGGCCUUCGGGUUGUAAAGCUCUGUCUUUUGGGACGAUAAUGACGGUACCAAAGGAGGAAGCCACGGCUAACUACGUG